AUCACCGAAAAGCUAACACUGAGUAAACAAGUUGAAACAAAUAAUUUGAGCUUAAAUAUAUGAUUCCUGUAUUACCUGCUUGCUUCCAAUUGACCCAUUUUAUAAUCCAACGACACAGAGGAGAAAGAAGUUGCGUAUUUAUUUAAGAACAAAAAAUGGAUAAAUCGGGAGAUGUUAAGAAGACGGAUACACACAGCUGGGCCUGACUCACUCACACUGAAAUCCCCUCGCUCUCUGUCCAAUGUUAUUUUCAGUUGCCAGUUAUGCCACCAACGGACGACGACCAUGUUUCUGAACGAUUUCCACAAGUUCCCUCCUCCAUCCAGAGCCAGACACGAGUCAGACAACAAUUGUACAACAUUUUGAAACCCUUCGGUGCUCUGUUCAGACAAAAAUACGAAAUGAUGAGACUGCGUUUGACUUUCACUCUCUUUUGUUUGAUUCCAUGCUCAUUAUUUUAAAAUUGCAUUUGUUUUCACGUAGCAAUCAGAACGACGAGCGAAGUGACCCUGACCAAAAAUUCUACACUGCAAUUUCUCGUAGACUAUGGAGAAUGACAAAAAAUGGCGUGCUAAAAAAAACUACCAAACUGAAAUAAAAGUUUAGUUCACAUUGGCUAAUCUCAA